AGCGAACGCUGGCGGCAGGCCUAACACAUGCAAGUCGAACGAACUCUUCGGAGUUAGUGGCGGACGGGUGAGUAACACGUGGGAACGUGCCUUUUGGUUCGGCAUAACUCAGGGAAACUUGUGCUAAUACCGAAUGUGCCCUUCGGGGGAAAGAUUUAUCGCCAUUAGAGCGGCCCGCGUCUGAUUAGCUCGUUGGUGAGGUAACGGCUCACCAAGGCGACGAUCAGUAGCUGGUCUGAGAGGAUGACCAGCCACACUGGGACUGAGACACGGCCCAGACUCCUACGGGAGGCAGCAGUGGGGAAUCGUGCGCAAUGGGCGAAAGCCUGACGCAGCCAUGCCGCGUGAAUGAUGAAGGUCCUAGGAUUGUAAAAUUCUUUCACCGGGGACGAUAAUGACGGUACCCGGAGAAGAAGCCCCGGCUAACUUCGUG
rnacentral:rRNA from 1 species